AGUCGCCUCGACCAUCUUCAGCACCAGUCCCUCUCCCUCUUCCUCUCGCUCUCUUUCUCCCUCUCUCUCUCUCUCUCUCUCUCUCUCAGUCUGUCUCUCUCCUCACAUGCAGAAGAAUUGUUCUCCAUGAGUCGCUCCGCUUCACUCACGGCUGGAUUUCUGCGUUUAUGAUUCUCCUCAAACAGUUCGUUUUAUAAGGCUUGAUUUUUGAGGCAGGAGAGAAAAUGGCUCAAAGCGCGCUGCUUUUUUUAUUAUGGCUAUUCGGCACAUCUCUCGCUGGCUUCCCCAAUCAGAUAAACAUCGGUGGGCUCUUCAUGCGUUCCACCGUGCAAGAACACAGCGCUUUCAGAUUCGCUGUGCAGCUCUACAACACCAAUCAGAACAUGACUGAGAAACCCUUCCAUCUCAAUUACAACGUAGAUAACCUGGAGUCCUCCAACAGUUUCUCUGUCACUCAUGCAUUUUGUUCGCAGUUCUCCAGAGGGGUGUAUGCCAUCUUCGGCUUCUAUGACAAGAAGUCCAUGAACACGCUGACCUCCUUCUGCGGGGCCCUCCACACCUCCUUCGUCACACCCAGCUACCCCAUCGACUCAGACGUGCAGUUUGUCAUCCAGAUGCGUCCUCCGUUGAAGGGCGCCGUCCUGAGUCUCCUGUCUCACUACAAGUGGGACAAGUUUGUCUACCUCUAUGACACAGACAGAGGAUUUUCCAUUCUUCAAGCCAUUAUGGAGGCAGCGGUGGCAAACAACUGGCAAGUUACAGCGCGGUCGGUGGGCAGCAUCACGGACCCCCAGGAGUUCCGCCGCAUCAUUGAGGAAAUGGACAGGAGACAGGAGAAGCGCUACCUCAUCGACUGUGAAGUGGACAGAAUCAAUGUCAUCUUGGAGCAGGUUGUGGCACUCGGAAAGAACAGUCGGGGCUACCAUUAUGUUAUUGCCAAUCUGGGCUUCACCAACAUCAGCCUGGACAAGGUCUUUCUCGGCGGAGCAAAUAUUAGUGGCUUCCAGAUAAUAAAUCCUGAAAACACAGUUGUACAACAGUUUCUUCAGAGAUGGGACCGUCUAGAUGAAAGAGAGUUUCCUGAAGCUAGAAACACACCUCUGAAGUACACUUCAGCGCUGUCUUAUGAUGCUAUCCUGGUCAUUGCGGAGGCGUUCCGGUACCUGCGACGCCAGCGAGUCGACGUGUCCAGACGAGGCAGCGCAGGCGAUUGCCUGGCUAACCCUGCUGUCCCUUGGAGCCAAGGCAUUGACAUCGAACGAGCUCUCAAAAUGGUCCAGGUGCAAGGAAUGACUGGCAAUAUUCAGUUUGACAGCUUUGGUCGCAGAUCAAACUACACUAUUGAUGUUUAUGAAAUGAAAACAGGGGGCCCAAGAAAAAUCGGAUACUGGAACGAGUUUGAGCGCUUUGUUAAUAUUAUGGAUCAGCAGUACACCAACGAUUCCUCAGUGGAAAACCGAACAAUUGUGGUCACUACUAUUAUGGAAGCACCAUAUGUGAUGUACAAGAAAAACCACAUGCAUCUGGAAGGCAAUGACAAGUAUGAAGGCUACUGUGUCGAUUUAGCUUCUGAGAUUGCCAAACAUGUUGGGAUUAAGUACAGACUGUCCAUAGUCAUGGAUGGAAAAUAUGGCGCCCGUGACCCUGAAACCAAGACUUGGAACGGGAUGGUGGGUGAACUAGUCUAUGGGAGAGCAGAUAUAGCCGUCGCACCAUUAACGAUCACUCUUGUGCGAGAGGAAGUCAUUGACUUUUCUAAGCCCUUCAUGAGUUUGGGCAUCUCCAUUAUGAUCAAGAAACCUCAGAAGUCCAAGCCGGGUGUGUUCUCCUUUCUGGACCCUCUGGCAUAUGAGAUCUGGAUGUGUAUCGUUUUCGCCUACAUCGGCGUCAGUGUGGUGCUGUUCCUCGUGAGCCGCUUCAGCCCGUACGAGUGGCACCUGGAUGAGACUGAUGAAGCCAAAGACCCCCAGACCCCUCCAGACCCGCCUAAUGACUUUGGGAUUUUUAACAGCCUGUGGUUCUCUCUAGGGGCCUUCAUGCAGCAAGGCUGUGAUAUCUCACCAAGGUCCUUAUCGGGCAGAAUAGUGGGAGGCGUCUGGUGGUUCUUCACCCUCAUCAUAAUCUCGUCCUACACGGCUAACUUAGCUGCUUUCCUCACAGUGGAGAGGAUGGUCUCUCCCAUAGAGAGUGCUGAAGAUCUAGCCAAACAAACAGAGAUCGCAUACGGAACCUUGGACUCAGGAUCAACCAAAGAGUUCUUUAGGCGUUCGAAAAUAGCAGUGUACGAAAAAAUGUGGUCGUACAUGAAAUCGGCCGAGCCCUCCGUCUUCGCCAAGACCACGCCCGACGGGGUGGCACGGGUACGAAAGUCGAAGGGCAAAUUCGCCUUUCUUCUCGAAUCCACCAUGAACGAAUACAUAGAGCAGAGGAAGCCCUGCGACACCAUGAAAGUGGGCGGCAAUCUGGACUCUAAGGGCUAUGGUGUGGCGACCCCCAAAGGCUCAGCAUUAAGAAAUGCUGUUAACCUGGCAGUUUUAAAACUGAAUGAGCAAGGCCUGUUGGACAAAUUGAAAAACAAAUGGUGGUACGACAAGGGAGAGUGCGGCAGCGGGGGAGGUGACUCCAAGGUCAGCCUCAAUGUCACCGAAAUCGGGUACCAUAGUACAGAGUAAUCGGCAAGCCUGUUAUUCCUGAACCGAGCCAAACCAAACAACCAACGAAAAAAAACCAAAAAACAUGCAUACUUUCAUAACCCCACAUUAUCUGAGAGCAAAACCAGAACCCUGACUUGGCUAACGGAGGAGAGAAAAUGACCAGUAUGAUUUUGUCCUACUGAGGAGAAGUCACUUUGGGUCUUUUUUACACACUUCACUUUAGCGUAGCGUUCACACGCAGAUGUUAGCGAUGCUGUUCGGUUAGCAGCUGGAGCUGCGCUAGUUCAUGAGUGAUAUCAGCGCUGAGACAGGUGAACCGUUCGUGUUUUAGCAAUCGGAGAAAACAUCCGCCUGGCAGACAGUAAAGAGAGACUCGACAUUGCCUUCUCGCUUUGCUUCUGCUAGGCAGCUGUCCACGGACGGUAACCUAGUCUUCUUAGUUUUCUUUUUCUCAGGUAGGAUCAAAGCAGCGUUACACUUUUUUAGUAUGAGAGGACAAAUCAUUGCAACAUCCAAAAACUUUGACGUCUGACAGGACAAACAGACGGCGUAGAUCAGGACUGGUAAGACACAGACGCAAACAGUGAGGCUCGAACAGCACACAUACAUGAGCAUUCCCAUCUCCACACCAAUCUGAGCACAGCAUCAAAAAUCCAUCACUUCAUUUGAUUCUGGCUAUUUGUCCUCCCUCCACGAGGCCAAUGUUAACCCACACAGCAGGGUAUACGUGGGACGUGUUGGGCCCAGUCCAGCCCUUAUUUUGUACUCAUGUGGAGGUGAAGAUUAACUGAUGUGCCGCCCUUAGACUUUCUAGUUCAAUUCACAUCAUACACUAGGGCAAAAUCACUUUUAUAUGGAACUGUUCUUGUUGUUUGUUUUGAGAAUAAUAGUCAAAAUGGGGACACACAUGAUGAGGGCUAACAGUGUUUUUUCAUGUGUGUCCCAGAGUUGAAAGUGUGCAGCGUUAAAAGCCUCAUUUUCAGGACCUUAAAAUCCGCCGAAGCACGGAUGAAGUUUGCGUAAUAAAUGCAAUAUAGAACAUAAAUUUUCUCGACAUGUGAAAGGAUUUAUGAAACCACUAAAAGCAUUUCAAUUUAACUGAAAUUUCUUGCACUCCACCAUAAUACUUCAGUGUACAUUUGCAUAACAUUUAGGACUGUAAAUGCUAGCUUUUUCACCACUUAAAAGAUACAAGAUUUUGUUAGUGCUAGAAUAGGUUGUUUAAUCUCAUUUUUGGGGAAGAUUUUUCAUUUGAUUUAAAGUCAACAUGAAAUGGCAUUCGCAACCCUAUUGCAAUUCUGUAAUGUGACAUUUCUGGGUGAGAUUUUGUGAGGACUGUUGUCGACUGUUCAAUUAGAAGGCAAAGAUGCAAAGUAUUUGCUAUUGUUGCUAUUUUUAUCAUUAUUAAUAACUAGCAUUAAAUUACUGCACUGAGUAUUGCAUAAUAAGAUUUGAGAAAUUGUACAUCACCUAGAACAGAAAAAGACAAACCCCUCUGAAAAUGUACCUAUACAUACAGUUCCCUGCUUUAUCCAGCUGAAAUGAACACUAGUGGCCAUAAAACGUUGGUAACUUUUAUUCAUUUUCACACAAAUUAUGAUUAUGAGGCAGACAGUGGGAACAGAGGGAGCAGUGCAUGAUUCGUAAACGUAUAAUACAGUAUCAGUUAAGAAUAUUGAUUUAGUGUAGGUGAUAGAACUUGCCACCCUCUGGACAUUUCACUCUGAAAGUGUCGCAAAAUGUGCAAGAAGCAAUGUAAUCAUAAAAAGUCACUAUAGGCACAUUUUCCAACAAGCUUGGGCUGGAAAAAAAAGGCAUUAAAAUGCGCACAUAGCUAGUAUGGCAUAAGAUGGAUAGUAUGGCCUCAUAAACAAGAACUGUUUCUGAGGAGGAGUAAAUCAUUAUAUUUUUACCAAAGAUAACCUUUUUUUAACCAUGCACUAAUGAUCCAUAAAUGUGUAAUCACCCAGAAUGUAAGGCCAGUAUUGAUUUCAUGUUGACUUUAAUUGUCAUUUCUUUCCCAUAGUUUCCUAUUUCCUGAAAAUGGGGCCUCUCUAAUAACGUCUGUACUAGUUGUUAGGGAGCAGGUUUUUCAGUACAAACAAAAGCAUUGUGCCCCCUGCCUGUGGAUGAAGGUGAAAGGUUAUGUGAGCUUUCAUAAUCACCUUCUUUGUUCCAGCUCUCUGUUUUUGCAGUUUGCAGUGAUUUGAAGCCCCCAUUAGUCGCCACGCGGUGGAUGGGCUAGCUCUAAUGAUCUAAUGCAGCGAGGCUGCAGUGGCGCGUCUGGACCCAGCCGCACAGCCAGCUGUGGAAAAACACAACAAAAAGAGAGAAAAACAGGAGAGAAAUCCACAUUAAGCCACCUGCAACAAACAGACAUCAUGAGUCACACAACCCGUUCUCCUCUUGGCCCCUGGCAGCCCACUGCCAUCUUCGCAGCUGAUAGGUUUCCCACUCCAGUCGCUCCGAGGAUAAUUACAUUGUUAAUCAAUGUCUCUCCCCAAGCUAAAAGAAAUGUUAGGACCACAUAGCUAAACCAGCAGGAGCCAUGAGAAAUGUAAAGAACAUUUAAGCGACUAAUUAUGUCUAGACGAGUGAUGGCACGCUUUUCUAUUAUAGUAGAAACAAAACAGAAUUCAAUUGUAGAGGUUUACAUUACAUUUUAGAAAAAUGGCAUUCUCUAGCAACAGAUUUAAAGUCAACAUAAAAAUGAUAAUCACAACCCGUUCGACUUGCGAUCUACAGUCUACGCUUCACACUGAAAAACAGUGUAGGAUUUACUUUGAGACAGAAGAAAACAGCAGUCAACAUAUUGAAUAAAACGUGUAAUUUGGAAGUAAACAGAAUAAAAUAGUAUUUUCCUGUGCAACCGUGCUAAAAAAAAGGCUAAAACCAGCCUAAGCUGGUUGGCUGGUCUUAGCUGGUUUAAGAUGGAAGUAGCUGGUUUUAGCUGGUCUCCCAGUCUGGCCAGGCUGGUCAAGCUGGUUUUAGCUGAUUGUUCCAGCUGGUCUCCCAGUCUGGCCAGCUAAAGAAGUGGCCAAACCCCCUCUAAAACCAGCCUGGUUAGGAUGGUUUUAACUGUUUUUUUCAGCAGGGAAGAUACAAGCAAUUUCCCCUGCUGUGAAAAAAAAAAAAAAAAAAAAAAAAAGAAAAAACAGCUAAAAACCAGCCCAAGCUGGUUGGCUGGUUAUCCAGGCUGGUCUUAGCUGGUCAGCAGGCUGGUUUUUGGGUGGUUUCGGCCACUUCCAGGCUGGUCUUAGCUGGUCAGGCUGGCAAACCAGCUCGAACAGCCAGCUAAAACCAGCUUGACCAGCCUAGCCAGGCUGGGAGACCAGCUUAAACCAGCUAAGACCAGCCAACCAGCCUAGGCUGGUUUUAGCUGUUUUGGAAGACUGACCAAACGAACAUAAACUGAAAUAAACUGAUUUCAUGUUGACUUUAAUGAUUAGCAUUACGCUACCUGUUUAUAAUUGAAGAGUACUUCCCAAAAUGGCGGCCACAUCAAUCGUUGAUCGCAAGCGGAUUGUUUAUUUACAGUACAGCCGCCGCUUCGUUAGCCGCUAGCGCUAACGUCCGAUUAGCCCGACUAGGCAGCGGUUCGGUUAACUCCAGCACCCAGGUAACACAGUGUUUUACUCUGCCAAUGCUUUGACUGAUUUGUGUACGGUCUUGUUUCCUUUUGUAUGUGUGUUUGCUUGUUUGGUUUCUUUGUACUCUCCGGCUGUAAUCCGUUCACAGAGUCCUAACGGCAGCUCUCCUCAGCCUGAGCAAAAUACUACUGGUAAUUUUCGUUGGUCUGUCAGUCAGUCGAGGGUUCGAGUGGAGAUCCACAUUCUCAGAUGAUCAAAUUAACCAAGACGCUUCUCUGCUUUUAUAGCCACGCAGGCGAUCUCUUCAGAAACCUGCCCGUUCUUCUCUUAACAGUGUAUGCCGAUUACUCAAAGCGAUACGGGUAGGUCCUGGCACACUAGUUUAGCCCUGGUGAAUGGAAGGUACUAGUCAGAAUGCCUGCCACAUGUGUGUUGAUAAUGGCCAGGAGCCCUGCUUUAUCGCUUUGUAAAGUAUGAAGUAGUUAAGACUUGAAUAACAUAAAAUAACAUAAUAUAAUGUUAUUUAUGUUAUUUCCCACGUGAAGAACUCCUGUAAACCUUGCAGUAUUGAAACUCAGUGAACAAGGCAUCUUAGCCAAGCUGAAAAACAAAUGGUGGUACGAUAAGGGUGAAUGUGGAACCAAGGACUCGGGAAGUAAGGACAAGACAAGUGCACUGAGCCUGAGCAAUGUU